GUACUAACCCAAAUAUCUAAAAAAGUAAAACCACAUAAAUGACCAAAAAAACAUAAAGAAAAACCUCCUAGAAACCACCCACAGGAAACCCAACAGACUCUCCAGAAAACCAACCAUGGAGAGUGACAGCUUCGGAUUGCAAUCGGAGUGAAAGCUAAGGAGAUUCCGAGAAAACCGAAGCCAAAAGCCAGCAAAUUAGCAAUGGGUAAAUUAUACCAUGUCCUUCUCAACCACUUUCUCAACCAUCUCAGGUGCCUCUUCGAUCCAGUAGCUAUCUACAGCAAGACGACGGCCUUCCAUGGCCUUGGAGUGUGCAGCCUCGUUUUGUUCUCUCCAUACAUGAGAAAAGGUAACCGAUUCAAAACUAAUAACCAUGUUCUUGAUUUCCAGGAUGAUUGGGCUUAGGAUCGAUCUAUCUUGUUCCGACGAUCUGAGUUUUUUGAUUAGUGCAAGAGAAUCUCCUUCAACCUCAAUAUAUUAGAAACCCAGUUCACCAGCAAACCAGAGCGCCCUCUCGCAUGCCAAAGCUUCUGCCACAAACGCAUCUGCAACAUGUAGAUGAGGGUAAUUACAUGCCCCUAGGACAGUUGAACGGGUUAUGUGUGGAGCAUCCAUAACUUGAAUCGUCAAUAGGCAGAAAAGGAGUAUGUGAUUUACAGAAUUCCACUCAUCUGAACACAUUAGACAUGCACUAGGAGUAGAAAGAUGAUGCUUUUCCAGAUUUGUAAAAGUACGAAGAAAGUUUCUGUACGUUUUCCACAUAUGUAUUUUGACUUUCUGUGGUAAUUUAGAGACCGCAGUUUGGUGAAAAAUGUUGUAGCUGUUAUGCCUGUAGAGUCAUUCGGAGUAUUUUGUUUGGGCAAUUUUGAUUAAGUCAAGAGUCUGUACCCACUCUUUACUGUAUAUGCUACCGAGCCAUCCACACGCCAAAUUCGAAUAUCUGGAAUCUGCAAACGAGAUAGAAGGGUGGACAGAAUUGCGUCGACCUGAGUGGCAUCAGCAAUUUCUCGGACUGCAUCUUCACACCAGGGAUCCACUGAGCAUUCCAGAGAUUCACACUCGCCCCGUCCCCAAUUCGCCAGCCAUUACCCGUUUCCAGUAAUUUGCGGGCAGCCAUAAUACUUCGUUAGGUAAGGGAUGGGUAAGAACCUAACCUAGCUAAAAUAAAAUUUGAGUGUUGGUGGA